rnacentral:pre_miRNA from 1 species
UUUUGCAGACGUAAGUGGUUAUGAUCUGGACGGCGGCAAGUUUAACGGGUGAGACCUCCAACUCCCUCUCUAUGGAUAGAAUAUAUUAUAUAUGAUGCUUUGCCUAUGAUUUCGAUUAUUUAUUUGUUUGUUUGA